GCCUUUGUGGUGUAGUGGUAACACGCAUCCCCGGUAUGAAUGAAACGCUGGUUCAACUCCUGUCUGGGGUC